CCCUUUAGUUAGGGGUAUCUCCCUUUAGUUAUUAUUAUAUCCCUUUAGUUAGAGGUAUCUCCCUUUAGUUAGGGGGUAUCUCCCUUUAGUUAUUAGUAUAUCCCUUUAGUUAGAGGUAUCUCCCUUUAGUUAGGGGUAUCUCCCUUUAGUUAGGGGUAUCUCCCUUUAGUUAUUAGUAUAUCCCUUUAGUUAGAGGUAUCUCCCUUUAGUUAGGGGUAUCUCCCUUUAGUUAUUAUUAUAUCCCUUUAGUUAGAGGUAUCUCCCUUUAGUUAGGAGUAUCUCCCUUUAGUUAGGCAUAUCUCCCUUUAGUUAGGGGUAUCUCCCUUUAGUUAGGAGUAUCUCCCUUUAGUUAGGCAUAUCUCCCUUUAGUUAGGCGUACCCCUCUUUAGUUAGAGGUAUCUCCCUUUAUUAAACAAUGUGCUUUUCAAAUAGAGGUUUUUCCUGGCUGUCCUAAACCAAACUCACUAGCAAUAUGCUUAGUUAUCAGUCACAUCAGCAUCAGAUAACUAGAUUUACUGCAAUAACCACAUGCAACUAAUAUAGUACUUUCACUAUAAUAGUCAUUGUGACAGCUAUUAUUAAACUGCAAAAAUGAUAUGUAUGCAACUGAAAAUAUAUUGAAUAUGGACAAAGUGAUCUCACAUUUCCUAUUAUGAGAUUAUUAUCAAUGCAAUGUAAUAUUAUUCAGCUUGCUUGUAGAUGCUUUUACAUAUGUUCAGCUUCAAAUCUAUUAGCAGGUAAUAUAGCUUCUUUUGAUAGAAAUAAUUGUUUAAAAUUAGAACAAUGAUCUGCCAGUAGAACAAAGACUAUGUUAAGCUUGAACUGAGUAAAAAUGUCUAGAUCUAUUUAAUAAACACACACACACACACACUCACACACACACACACACACA
ensembl:lncRNA